CCUACGUGGGGCAGCAGAGAGGAAUAUUGGUCAAUGGGCGCAAGCCUGAACCAGCCAAGUCGCGUGAGGGAAGACGGCCCUACGGGUUGUAAACCUCUUUUGCCGGGGAGCAAGCCUGAGCACGUGUGCCCAGGCGGAGAGUACCCGGAGAAAAAGCAUCGGCUAACUCCGUGCCAGCAGCCGCGGUAAUACGGAGGAUGCGAGCGUUAUCCGGAUUUAUUGGGUUUAAAGGGUGCGCAGGCGGGCUGUUAAGCCGGCGGUAAAAAUUCAGGGCUCAACCUCGCUACGCCGUUGAAACUGGCGUUCUUGAGUGGGCGAGAAGUAUGCGGAAUGCGUGGUGUAGCGGUGAAAUGCAUAGAUAUCACGCAUAACUCCGAUUGCGAAGGCAGCAUACCGGCGCCCAACUGACGCUGAAGCACGAAAGCGUGGGUAUCGAACAGGAUUAGAUACCCCUGUAGUC
rnacentral:rRNA from 1 species